AUAGGUAAUAUGAGGAGGGGUCUAUAUAUAUGUAAUAUGAGGAGGGGUCUAUAUGUAUGUAAUAUGUUAUAUGAGGAGGGGUCUAUAUAUCUGUAAUAGGUAAUAUGAGGAGGGGUCUAUAUAUAUGUAAUAGGUAAUAUGAGGAGGGGUCUAUAUAUCUGUAAUAUGAGGAGGGGUCUAUAUAUAUGUAAUAUGAGGAGGGGUCUAUAUGUAUGUAAUAUGUUAUAUGAGGAGGGGUCUAUAUAUCUGUAAUAUGAGGAGGGG